UACGGAGGGUGCAAGCGUUGCUCGGAAUUACUGGGCGUAAAGCGCACGUAGGCGGCUUUGUAAGUUAGAGGUGAAAGCCCAGAGCUCAACUCUGGAAUUGCCUUUAAGACUGCAUCGCUCGAAUUGUGGAGAGGUGAGUGGAAUUCCGAGUGUAGAGGUGAAAUUCGUAGAUAUUCGGAAGAACACCAGUGGCGAAGGCGACUCACUGGACACAUAUUGACGCUGAGGUGCGAAAGCGUGGGGAGCAAACAGG
rnacentral:rRNA from 1 species